CAUGUACUCCCUCCGUCCGGAAAUACUUGCCAUCAAAAUGGAUAAAAGGGGAUGUAUCUAGACGUAUUUUAGUUCUAGAUACAUCUUUUUUUAUCCAUUUUGAUGACAAGUAUUUUCGGACGGAGGGAGUAUGAA
rnacentral:pre_miRNA from 1 species